rnacentral:rRNA from 1 species
GGUAGCAUGUUGGUUGCUUGCAACCGGUGAUGACGACCGGCGCACGGGUGAGUAACGCGUAUCCAACUUGGCUUAUACUUAGGGAUAACCCGUUGAAAGACGGCCUAAUACCUAAUAGUUUAUAAUAGUUGCAUGACUUUUAUAAUAAAGAUUUAUCGGUAUAAGAUAGGGAUGCGUCUGAUUAGUUAGUUGGUGAGGUAACGGCUCACCAAGGCAUCGAUCAGUAGGGGUUCUGAGAGGAAGGUCCCCCACAUUGGAACUGAGACACGGUCCAAACUCCUACGGGAGGCAGCAGUGAGGAAUAUUGGUCAAUGGACGUAAGUCUGAACCAGCCAAGUAGCGUGCAGGAUGACGGCCCUAUGGGUUGUAAACUGCUUUUAUGUGAGAAUAAAGUUAACUACGUGUAGUUAUUUGCAUGUAUCACAUGAAUAAGGACCGGCUAAUUCCGUGCCAGCAGCCGCGGUAAUACGGAAGGUCCAGGCGUUAUCCGGAUUUAUUGGGUUUAAAGGGAGCGUAGGCCGUUUGAUAAGCGUGCUGUGAAAUUUAGAGGCUCAACCUCUACCGUGCAGCGCGAACUGUCAGACUUGAGUGCGUAGUAGGUAGGCGGAAUUCGUGGUGUAGCGGUGAAAUGCUUAGAUAUCACGAAGAACUCCGAUUGCGAAGGCAGCUUACCGUAUCGCAACUGACGCUGAUGCUCGAAGGUGCGGGUAUCGAACAGGAUUAGAUAGCCUGGUAGUCCGCACAGUAAACGAUGGAUGCUCGCUGUUGGCCAUUUUGGUCAGUGGCUUAGCGAA